GACGAACGCUGGCGGCGUGCUUAACACAUGCAAGUCGAACGAGUGGCGAACGGGUGAGUAAUACGUGGGUAACUGCCUAUUAGAGGGGGAUAACUAUUGGAAACGAUAGCUAAUACCGCAUACUAGUAGAUGGACCUGCGUUGUAUUAGCUAGUAGGUAGGGUAAUGGCCUACCUAGGCAACGAUACAUUGCCGACCUGGGAGGGGGGACGGCCACACUGGGACUGGGGCACGGCCCCGACUCCUACGGGAGGCAGCAAUAGGGGAACUUCGGCAAUUGGGGGAAACCUGGCCGAGCAACGCCGCGUGGGUGGAGGAGGUUUUCGGGUCGUAAAGCUCUGUUGUUAAGGAAGCGGUACUUAACCAGAAAGGGACGGCUAACUACGUGCCAGCAGCCGCGGUAAUUC
rnacentral:rRNA from 1 species